UACGGAGGGUGCGAGCGUUGUCCGGAAUCACUGGGCGUAAAGGGCGCGUAGGUGGCGUCGCAAGUCAACGGUGAAAGCUCGACGCUCAACGUCGAGUCGGCCGUCGAGACUGCGAGGCUUGAGCACUGUAGAGGCAGAUGGAAUUCCGGGUGUAGCGGUGGAAUGCGUAGAGAUCCGGAAGAACACCGGUGGCGAAGGCGGUCUGCUGGGCAGUUGCUGACACUGAGGCGCGACAGCGUGGGAGCAAACAGG
rnacentral:rRNA from 1 species